GCAGUGCUAAUGCUCUUCGCUGCGUUUCCAGCUGUUAUUCCACAUUGUUCUCUUUGCUGACAAUGUCCUUUCACUAAAGACAGCUAUUUUUUUUCCUGGAACAAAACUAAAACAAUCGAGAAAAUGGGCCUGAAACCCCAGAGCGACUCUGUACAUACCUUCAGAGGAGAAAUUUAACCUGGCUUGAACUUAUGCAGACGCAGCCCUGCGAGUUCCUGCUCAGGCAGAAGGCUUAUUGAAAGGCAUUUUGCCUGCAUAACAGCAGCAUCAAAGGUAUCCGACUAUGGGUAAGUCUGGUUUUAUGGAUCUGCCUUUCUUUUCUCUUUAAA
rnacentral:lncRNA from 1 species